AUGGCGCAUGGCAGAGGCAGCUCCCGGCGGCUGCAUGCGCGUCUACUCGCGGUGGUGGGGCUCCUCGCCUGCGCCGCCGUCGCGCCGCGCUCCUCGGCGCUCAACGUCGGCCUCCAGACCCUCGACGGCGACGGCGACGGCGUGAGCAAGCAGCAGGCGUGCAGCCGAACGUGCGAGUCCGACCACUGCACGACGGCGCCUUUCCUGCGGUACGGCAAGUACUGCGGCAUCCUCUACAGCGGGUGCCCCGGCGAGCGGCCGUGCGACCCCCUCGACGCCUGCUGCAUGCACCACGACAACUGCGUCCUCGUCAAGAAUGACUACCUGAGCACGGAGUGCAACGAGGGCCUGCUGGAGUGCCUGGCGGAGCUGCGGGCCGGCACGGGCACGUUCGAGGGGAACAAGUGCAUGAUCGACGAGGUCAUCGACGUGAUCACCGUCGUCAUCGAGGCCGCCGUCGUCGCCGGCCGGGUCCUGCACAAGCCCUAG
rnacentral:rRNA from 1 species